AACGAACGCUGGCGGCAUGCCUAACACAUGCAAGUCGAACGAGACCUUCGGGUCUAGUGGCGCACGUGUGCGUAACGCGUGGGAACCUGCCCUUAGGUUCGGAAUAACUCCCCGAAAGGGGUGCUAAUACCGGAUAAUGUCUUCGGACCAAAGAUUUAUCGCCUUUGGAUGGGCCCGCGUUGGAUUAGCUAGUUGGUAGGGUAAAAGCCUACCAAGGCGACGAUCCAUAGCUGGUCUGAGAGGAUGAUCAGCCACACUGGGACUGAGACACGGCCCAGACUCCUACGGGAGGCAGCAGUGGGGAAUAUUGGGCAAUGGGCGAAAGCCUGAUCCAGCAAUGCCGGGUGAGUGAUGAAGGCCUUAGGGUUGUAAAGCUCUUUUACCCGGGAUGAUAAGGACAGGACCGGGAGAAUAAGCUCCGGCUAACUCCGU
rnacentral:rRNA from 1 species